rnacentral:rRNA from 1 species
CCUACGGGGUGCAGCAGUGGGGAAUAUUGCACAAUGGGGGAAACCCUGAUGCAGCGACGCCGCGUGAGUGAAGAAGUAAUUCGUUAUGUAAAGCUCUAUCAGCAGGGAAGAAAAUGACGGUACCUGAGUAAGAAGCCCCGGCUAACUACGUGCCAGCAGCCGCGGUAAUACGUAGGGGGCAAGCGGUAUCCGGAUUUACUGGGUGGAAAGGGAGCGUAGACGGCAGUGCAAGUCUGGAGUGAAAGGCGGGGGCUCAACCCCCGGACUGCUCUGGAAACUGUACGGCUGGAGUGCAGGAGAGGUAAGUGGAAUUCCUAGUGUAGCGGUGAAAUGCGUAGAUAUUAGGAGGAACACCAGUGGCGAAGGCGGCUUACUGGACUGUAACUGACGUUGAGGCUCGAAAGCGUGGGGAGCAAACAGGAUUAGAUACCCUUGUAGUC